GACGGGGUAAUCACGUGAUGAUCUAAAGGAAGUCAAGAUGGCGACAUCCGUGCCGAAAUUGGCGAAUAUGGAAUCGAACUCAAACACGACGCGUCUUUGGACUGAGUGUGGCCGAGAGUUCCAGUCAAGGAGUGGCUUCGGGCGUCAUGUAACACAAACGACAAUCCCCAUACCGUAUUGCGGAAAGAUGUUUUUUGACAAGGACAAACUAAAAAUGAACAUAUAUUGCUAGCAAUCAUGUAAAAAAAGAUCUCGAGCUGUGUUGGUGCCUUGUUACCUUGUUAUACAUUAGACAAGUUGCUACCAACUCUAUUACUGUUAUUACUUGUGAAUAUGUUGUAUGAUGAAUAUUGAUGAUGUUUUUUUCGUUGUUUAAAGUCUAUAACCUUG